CUGUCUCAGCCUGAGGGCGGAAAGCAACGGCCAAUAAUUAAUUAAUUAAUUAUAAUUAAUAUAAUUAUUAAUUAAUUAAUUAAACCUCUCUGAAGAACAAACUCUUGCCAAGAUAUAAUUCACUUUUAGCAGUAGCAAUAACAUUAGGGCCGCCUCCCUUCACACAGCCAAGUUGUCUGGGGUUGGAAAACGGUUUCCCCCCUGACUGAGGUGGCCAAUAGGAGCCGAGUGCUGAUCCGGUUCGGGAUCGAGGGAGGCGUCCGCACUAGUUGCUGUUCUCGCGCCUUCUUGCUGCCGAGGGACAGGGGCAGCCUUUUCUCAUCAUCUCCGACGCUUCAGAGGCCUUUUGGAUCUCUCUCUGCGAAGCCUCCCCGCAAAACCAUCAUGCUGCCUUUCCAGAAGGCCUCCAGGGUCCUGAUGGCGAGGCUGGGCAGGAGCCAGGUCUUGGUGCAGCCCAGGGCGAACAUCGUCCCUAAGCCCCCCAAAGACCCCAUCUCUCCCGCUGAGCAAGUUUUUGCGUUGACUGUGAUGUCUGCAGUCUUCUUGAUCCCACCAGGUUGGUUUUUGUGCCACCUUGAGGAUUACAAGAACCCCACCAGAGAUUGAAGUGCAUAUGGAAGGCUUCUGCUGUGAAUAUGGCUACCAAGACAGCACCAAAAAAGAAAAUUGUAUCCUGUUUCGUGGAAAGCUGUCCCUGGAGUUUGUUAUAAUUCAAGGCAGUUUUUAAAAUUACAGUAGCCAAAUAUGUUUUCUUUGAGAAAAGUGCACUACUAAUAGCAAAAAGGGAUAUUCAGUGUUGUGUUACCAAAUAAGGAUAUACAGAUUAAAUAAAUAAAUCCUUGAAAAUAUAAGGAAAA